rnacentral:rRNA from 1 species
AGGUGUGGGUAGGGGAGAAAUUCCAAUCGAACCCGGAGAUAGCUGGUUCUCCUCGAAAUAGCUUUAGGGCUAGCCUCAUUUUAGUCUUAUGGAGGUAGAGCACUGAAUUUCCGCGGGGGCGUCAAAGCUUACCAAAGAAUAUCAAACUCCGAAUGCCAUGUAGAUGAUGAAUGGGAGUCAGACUGCACGAGAUAAGUUGGGCAGUCAAAAGGGAAAGAGCCCAGACCACCAGCUAAGGUCCCAAAGUGUGUGUUAAGUGGAAAAGGAUGUGGGAUUUCAAAGACAACUAGGAUGUUGGCUCAGAAGCAGCCACACAUUCAAAGAGUGCGUAACAGCUCACUAGUCGAGAGGUCCUGCGCCGAAAAUGUCCGGGGCUAAAACACAACACCGAAGCUGUGGAAUCACGUAAGUGAUUGGUAGAGGAGCAUUCUUAAGACCGACGAAGCUGUACCGGAAGGAGCAGUGGAGGGAUAAGAAGAGAGAAUGCCGGAAUGAGUAGCGAGAGAGAGGUGAGAAUCCUCUCGGCCGAAUAUCCAAGGUUUCCAGAGUAAAGCUGAUCUGCUCUGGGUAAGUCGGGGCCUAAGGAGAGGUCGAAAGACGUAUCCGAUGGACAACAGGUUUAGAUUCCUGUACCACAUAUGAACAGAACUGUGGGGACGCAUGUGGAGAGCACGAGCCGGGAAUGGAAAUACCGGUACAAGCGGAGAAGGAGUCUGGUUGGCAAAUCCGCCAGGCAAUCCGAAGACGUGAUGUGGAGCGAAUUAAAGUAGCGAAGCGUGUGAGCCAUGUGCCGAGAAAAGCCGCUAUUGUUUCAUGUGUGCCCGUACCGUAAACCGACACAGGUGGAUGAGGAGAGAAUCCUAAGGCCGGCGGAAGAAGCAUUGUUAAGGAACUCGGCAAAAUGACCCCGUAACUUCGGGAGAAGGGGUGCCUGCGCAAGCAGGCCGCAGAGAAUAGGCUCAAGCAACUGUUUAGCAAAAACACAGGUCUAUGCGAAACCGAAAGGUGAAGUAUAUGGGCUGACGCCUGCCCGGUGCUGGAAGGUUAAGAGGAGAGGUUAGCGCAAGCGAAGCUUUGAAUUUAAGCCCCAGUAAACGGCGGCCGUAACUAUAACGGUCCUAAGGUAGCGAAAUUCCUUGUCGGGUAAGUUC